rnacentral:rRNA from 1 species
GAUGAACGCUGGCGGCGUGCCUAAUACAUGCAAGUCGAGCGAACAGACGAGGAGCUUGCUCCUCUGACGUUAGCGGCGGACGGGUGAGUAACACGUGGAUAACCUCCCUAUAAGACUGGGAUAACUUCGGGAAACCGGAGCUAAUACCGGAUAAUAUUUUGAACCGCAUGGUUCAAUAGUGAAAGACGGUUUUGCUGUCACUUAUAGAUGGAUCCGCGCCGCAUUAGCUAGUUGGUAAGGUAACGGCUUACCAAGGCAACGAUGCGUAGCCGACCUGAGAGGGUGAUCGGCCACACUGGAACUGAGACACGGUCCAGACUCCUACGGGAGGCAGCAGUAGGGAAUCUUCCGCAAUGGGCGAAAGCCUGACGGAGCAACGCCGCGUGAGUGAUGAAGGUCUUCGGAUCGUAAAACUCUGUUAUUAGGGAAGAACAAAUGUGUAAGUAACUGUGCACGUCUUGACGGUACCUAAUCAGAAAGCCACGGCUAACUACGUG